rnacentral:lncRNA from 1 species
GAUGAGGACAUCCUCCACUAUUACCCGUUGGCAAAGACACAAUUGGCCUAGUUGGCCCAAUUGUAGUCGGACGGCGACUGUGUGAGCCUCAGAAUUAUCCCACCUCGCUUAACUUGGGAGGAGGAAGCCACUUUAAAAGGGAGAGCCACCCUUCCCCCAUUGGACUAGUCUUUUGGGGCGAUUAGGCCUUUCCCUAAGUUGGGUGUGCUUGAUGAACUGUUGGGCUCCGGGCAACCCUAAUUUGUUGGGCCUCGGCCAACCCCACCUGGGCUGGGUGUAUCAUCUGGUAUCAAAGCUAGGGCCCAUUUUAAGAAGGUGGGAAUGAUGAGGACAUCCUCCACUAUUACCCGUUGGCAAAGACACAAUUGGCCUAGUUGGCCCAAUUGUAGUCGGACGGCGACUGUGUGAGCCUCAGAAUUAUCCCACCUCGCUUAACUUGGGAGGAGGAAGCCACUUUAAAAGGGAGAGCCACCCUUCCCCCAUUGGACUAGUCUUUUGGGGCGAUUAGGCCUUUCCCUAAGUUGGGUGUGCUUGAUGAACUGUUGGGCUCCGGGCAACCCUAAUUUGUUGGGCCUCGGCCAACCCCACCUGGGCUGGGUGUAUCAGGGUCGGCGUAUUCCCGUUACCUUGAAGGGUCCUUCCCAGCUGGGGGAUAGUUGUGGAGCCUUUCUUGGCUUAGUACUUGCCGUAGGACUAGGUCCCGACCCUAGGUUCCCGUCUGCGUUUGACGAGGGGGCCCUCGUCUUCGACUGUGGCCAUUUCUGCAUGAUACUGUCGGAAAUUUGGACUCGUGGGGAGUCCAUAAGGGUUUCCAGGGGAAGACCUGCUUCGGCCCCGUAGACCGGGGAGCACAGGGUCCCCCUGGGGGUCCAUCUAGCUAUCUCCACUGGAGUAGGAGCCUCCGGCGAAGACAUCCUUUAGGUCCCCCUCGGGUGACUGAUACCCGAGGUCCCGUUCAGCUGCG